rnacentral:rRNA from 1 species
UACGUAGGGGGCAAGCGUUGUCCGGAUUUAUUGGGCGUAAAGAGCGUGUAGGCGGCCAGAUAGGUCCGUUGUGAAAACUGGAGGCUUAACCUCCAGCUGUCGAUGGAAACCAUCUGGCUAGAGUCCGGAAGAGGAGAGUGGAAUUCCUGGUGUAGCGGUGAAAUGCGUAGAGAUGUGGAGGAACACCAGUGGCGAAGGCGGCUCGCUGGGACGGUACUGACGCUGAGACGCGAAAGCGUGGGGAGCAAACAGG